rnacentral:rRNA from 1 species
UUGGGGGUGUAGGACACUCUAUACGGAGUUACAAAAGAAAGUUAUAAAUGAAGCGGUCUGGAAAGGCCCGCCAAAGACGGUAACAGCCCGGUAGUUGAAAUGGCUUUCCCUCCAGAGUGGAUCCUGAGUACGGCGGAACACGUGAAAUUCCGUCGGAAUCCGGGAGGACCAUCUCCCAAGGCUAAAUACUCCCUAGUGACCGAUAGUGAACCAGUACCGUGAGGGAAAGGUGAAAAGCACCCCGGAAGGGGAGUGAAACAGUUC